rnacentral:rRNA from 1 species
UACGUAGGGUGCGAGCGUUAAUCGGAAUUACUGGGCGUAAAGCGUGCGCAGGCGGCUUUGCAAGACAGAUGUGAAAUCCCCGGGCUCAACCUGGGAACUGCAUUGGAGACUGCAAGGCUAGAGUACGGCAGAGGGGGAUGGAAUUCCGCGUGUAGCAGUGAAAUGCGUAGAUAUGCGGAGGAACACCAAUGGCGAAGGCAAUCCCCUGGGCCUGUACUGACGCUCAUGCACGAAAGCGUGGGGAGCAAACAGG